rnacentral:sRNA from 1 species
CUGAGCUAAAUCCCCAACCCCACAUGGCACCUCUUAACUAUAAUGUGAUCUCAUGCCCUCUUCUGGCAUGCAAAUGGACAUGCAGACAGGAUACUCAUAGAUAUAAAAAUAAAAGACUCAUUUUGGGGGCUGUAAUUCCAGUUAGCUGGGAUACAGGAAGUCCCUGGUUCAGUCUCCUUUGGGGGAUGCUGUGUUGUUUGUUCAGUAUAAUUUGGCCAACCUAACUUUACUGCAGAUGCCAACAAUUAGGUUGUCAGACAAGAGCUUUACCUCAGUAGCACGGGCAUGUGGUUAAUACAAACAGGACCGUCACUGGUCUGAUCCUCCAGCAUCGAAAUAAAGGACUUUGAAAGCUGCUUGCUAAAGCCUCAUCUGUCUCGAGAGCUUGUUUGGAGGUUCUAGCAGGAGAGCUCAGCUACUCCUACACCCUUGGCCGAAGACAGCUUCUCCUCCAUUAAGGGAAGGUCGCCCUCUUUGACUGAGCAUGCGCUUUGCGAGGGGUAUGCAUGGAGCGGGCGGGGGAGGGAGGAUGGGGACCUAGGAUGAUUCCUAGCCAGCCGUAUCAACGGAAUCAACCCUGGUGGUCGAUGAGGUGACAGAGGUGGCUGCCAGAUGGCCCCCACAUCGAAGCCUCAGCUACCUAUGAGAGCAAGGUGGGAAUAUGGAGAAGUCAGAAGCCUUCAUCCAAGAUGGCGCCCGCACCUGCACACUACAGCUGAUGGAACCCGGACCAAUGCCGUUCUUCCCCGAGCAUCUCCCCUGUGACGUCAUCAACGGCCAUGUAAAAUCUCCUUCCCUAGGCUCAUCCCACAAAUGUUUACUGAAUAUCUACAUGUUUCAGGCAGAAAACCAGCCCCUACCCACCCCUCUGUAGGAUCUGCUUCCCUGGUAUGACCAUUCUUUUCUGGACAACGACAGGAGUGGAUAAUCCAAUAAUGCGUGGUGUCUCAUCUCAGUACUUCUGUGUUAGGCACGCUAGUAUAUUAAGACGCUGAAAGGCCUUACCAGAACGUUCACCACAUCUACAGUGGUGGAUCUAACACAUACUGGGAUCUGAGGGCCACCGUUUCUACAGCACAGAGGAUUAAGGACGGCAGUGUAAACGUGGUCUGGCAAUUCCACUGGACUUUGUCAUCCAAGGUCAGCGAUGGGACUUAGAAAGCCACCGAGGAAUGUGACAGGCAAGACAAGACCUGGAUUUUGUAUUUGGGUUUAAAACCCCCGGAGCAGGGAGACACUAGGUACCCGCAGUUCUCAGCGCUGGACAGUGCAUGUGAGGCGAACGAGAUGAUGCAGCCUUGGAUGCUCAUGGAGAAGCUGUUCUACACAGUUGUAGCUUUAUAACCGUCAUGGACUGAAGGCUGGUAAGUAUCAGAGAGGAGCUAGGGGUUUAGGGAGCUAGUGAACGACCUGUGGGGGAUGGGCUUGGAGAUCAUCCCGAGGGAGCCACAACACGGGGGUUUUGCAUAAUACUGCACUUAAAAAAGAGAUGUCAAUCACUUAUACAAAUAAUCAUAUAUUGGUUUAAGAAAAUUUCCCAGAAUCCCCCACCAGUCUAAUAAAUUAGGUGCUUUUAUUUUUCCGUCCUCUAGGACUGUCCUUGCCCGAAGCACCGACCCUACCCCACCCCCAAGUCACAGAGUUCUGACCACACAGUGGGGACGAAUCUCCCAUCUUCCCAUUGCUCAUAGACCUUUAUCACCACCCUGUAUUACCUUCCUAAUGACUCAUUUUACUGUUACUAACCCAUAGGAGAAAUGGGUUGAGAUUUAUUUAACCCUGACAUUUCUGCAUCAUGAAUACCGUCACGCCACCACAAACAUCUCACACGCAACCUUGCCCUCUGUGACAUCACUUCCUUAGGCUCCCGUUCUAGAAGCCUCAUCCCAGGAAGCAGACUGCUCUUCCAGAGACUGCUACAGCAUGUCAUUGCCCUCCCCACCCUUGAAAGUUAGAAGCUUGGGCAAUUCUUGGCCAAGGAAGGAAAAGACAAGCAUUUUCAGUAAAGCUGCCAUGGACGUAAGAAGUUGUGGGCAUAUUACAUUGGGUUGCUUCUGUUUGCUUAGAUCCUUUGUAUGCAUAACGUGAGGUAGCUCUCCAGGUUUGCUCAGAGGCCAGUUCACACCCAUAUGCUGGAGAGGUAAACUUCAGGUUUCUCUAGGGAAGCCUAGAUAGAGUUCCCUAAAUGUAUUCUAAAUUUUUAAAUUAUAUUUCAUCUAUUUAAUUUAUCCCCUAUCAAUCUAUCGCCUACUUAUCAUCUCUCUUACCUCUCACCUAUCAUCUAUCUUCU